rnacentral:lncRNA from 1 species
UUACAAUUUCGCUAUAUAUAUGGUCCCUUUCGUGUGAUAAACUGGUCGGCAACUCGACUACUUCACUGCCAGAUGACUUUGAUUUCAUUCGGACCUUGGUCGUUUGGAAGGGGAUAGCAUUUGAUUCUUCCUCCAAGCAGGAGUCGACCUUGGUGCAUCAGCGCUACGCCACCCUACCGCUACGGAUGUUUUGGAAUGUUUUGUGCAUAGUGCAGGUAACGUGAAGGGUCUUUGGUUCUCCCCUGCAGAUGAUGUUUCUUGGACGGCAUUCUUCUCACUGGUUCAUGUAUACAUACCACCUUGUCAUAAUUAAAGACCUCCAAAUCUACAAUGUGGCAACAGGUGAAUCAUGUCGAUGAAGUAGAAAAACAAAACAGGAUUCUACAAGGGAAAACACCACGGUGUCUAUUGGCAAUCUCAGGAAAAAAGGCGUUUUAUUGGUAGUCUUCUGCAAGUUAUCUCCAGCCGGAGCAUCAACCCAUUACCUAACUUCUUCCUUUUAUUUUCUGAUAUUCCUUUACUCUUCAGGAGGCUGCUGAUCCUUCAUGUUGAUUUCUAGUGUUAUCUUCGAUCUUGUGGAAGGAUACAUCGUCGAUUGGUUCAUCGUCCACGCCUACGUUAUGAUUCGUGCUAUGGUCCCCUCCAUGUGAUAAACUUGUCGACAACUCGGACUACUUGAUUGACAAGUGACUUUGAUUUCAUUCUAACCUUGCUACCUUUGCAACGAGAUAGCAUAUGUGUUUCUUUCUCCUUUGCUUCCAUUUUGCUCGAGGAACACUAAAGAUGCUGCACUAUUAAGCAUGCACUUUGGGACAGUUACAUUAAUAACAUUGAUUAGCAUGCUCAAAGAACAAUUGCAAUGGAUAAAUAUGUUGAAAUAGCAGGCAUCACAUGAUAUAGUUUUAGUAUAUUACCAUAAUAUAGGGGAGUUUUCAUUGAUAAGUCACCUAAAACAAAGGGGUGCAGGCUGAAUUCUUAUUUGUCCAUAAACA